rnacentral:lncRNA from 1 species
UCUGGCCCAUAAUUUAUGAAAACCAGUAUUGUGCAAUGGGUCAAGGAAGGAAAUACUACCACAAUUAUAAACAUGGGGACUUUCUCUUUUCAUUUAUUCAGCUCCAGCUCUGCCCUCCGAAUUGGAGACUUAAGGACAACAGAGCUCUGAAGAUGGUUAGUGUCAUCUAAACACAAUGAAGCUGCUGACUCGAUUUAAAUACACAUUGAAAUUUGGGAAAUAGAGAAAAAGAAAGCCAUCAAUGAUCCUUCAGGUAGAAUCUUUGGACAGUUUUCUGGAGAAAAUGGAUUUGGAUCAAAGGAGACGUCAGAACCAUGUAGUUGCUACUGAACCGUACAUUUGAAGGAGCCCCAUCAGAUUGUGCAUUUCUGACUUUACUCCUUUUCUCAUGUGAACUGCAAAACUAAAGAGGAACAUAAGAAACAAAAAGGAGAAAAAUUAUCAAAUGAUUGUAAAAGAAUAAAGAGAGUUAAACAAUGCAAAUUUCUGAUGUGUUAACAUUAAGAGAAAGAUGAAGAACAGCUUAAUAAUCAUAUUCAGAUAUUGGAAUACAGACAAGAAAAAGAUUAAGUCAUUCUUGUUUUCACUCUGAGACAAAUAAGAGAACGUGGGCCACAAGACGACAUGUUUGAAAUUCCGAUUCUUGUUCACCCGCUUUUCAAUCUACUGCUUCUGCCCCGCCAGGCUGCCUCGAGUUCUGGAAGGGUCACUUCAUUCCCUCACAGCACGUGGACCUCCAAUGCAGGAGCUUACACUCUUGAAGAGGGUGGCAAGCACGGUAAUGAAGAAGUCUGUAUGAGCAGAGAGAC